rnacentral:rRNA from 1 species
UACGAAGGGGGCUAGCGUUGCUCGGAAUCACUGGGCGUAAAGGGUGCGUAGGCGGGUUUUUAAGUCAGGGGUGAAAUCCUGGAGCUCAACUCCAGAACUGCCUUUGAUACUGGGGAUCUUGAGUUCGGGAGAGGUGAGUGGAACUGCGAGUGUAGAGGUGAAAUUCGUAGAUAUUCGGAAGAACACCAGUGGCGAAGGCGGCCAACUGGUCCGGCACUGACGCUGAGGUGCGAAAGCGUGGGGAGCAAACAGG